ACCAUGAGGGUGGAACCAUGAUGAUGGAUCCAUGAGGAUGGAACCAUGAGGAUGGAACCAUGAGGGUGGAACCAUGAGGGUGGUACCAUGAGGGUGGAACCAUGAUGAUGGAACCAUGAGGGUGGUACCAAGGGAAUGGAACCAUGAUGAUGGAUCCAUGAGGAUGGAACAAUGGGGAUGGAUCCAUGAGGCAGCCUGAGGUUAGAUCUUCAACACUACUGACCAAACACCAUCACUCUGGCCCUAGCAUGUGUGUGUUAACGUGUUUUAACGUGUGUGUGUGUGUGUGUGUGUGUGUGUGUGUGUGUGUGUGUGUGUGUGUGUGUGUGUGUGUGUGUGGUAUCGUGGUGUGAAAAAUAAUUGUUACUUUUUUUGCAAUUUAAAAACGAUUAAAAGUUGCCGGGGACAACAUUUCCCUGGACCCUAGGCUACUGAAAAUGUUCCCGGACCCUAGGCUACUGAAAAUGUUCCCGGACCCUAGGCUACUGAAAAUGUUCCCGGACCCUAGGCUACUGAAAAUGUUCCCGGACCCUAGGCUACUGAAAAUGUUCCCAGACCCUAGGCUACUGAAAAUGUUCCCAGACCCUAGGCUACUGAAAAGGCUACUGAAAAUGUUCCCAGACCCUAGGCUACUGAAAAGGCUACUGAAAAUGUUCCCAGACCCUCGGCUACUGAAAAUGUUCCCUGACCCUAGGCUACUGAAAAUGUUCCCCGGACCCUAGGCUACUGAAAAUGUUCCCCGGACCCUCCGAUUUACAAAUUAAUCAGUGUGUGUGUGUGUGUGUGUGUGUGUGUGUGUGUGUGUGUGUGUGUGUGUGUGUAUUAGAAGUGUUGGGUCCUUCCUGGUAUGAAAAAGGGUGAAAGGUCACGAACCCGGGUUUGGGCAGAAUAGAAGCGUUGGUUUCUAUUAUUGAUGUUACUAUGUGGACCGGACUGGGUCUGUGUUUUUUAUUUUAUUUACCACAACUAGAACCCGUGGAACCGUCUAGACGUGUUGUUUCCUUGUGAUGAGAUUGCUGUGGAACAGGAUUAUUAUUAUUAUUGUUAUUGUUAUUAUUAUUAUGCAUCUGAUCAUCUAUUACUCUAAAUGACGACGAGCAAUAAAGUUGAGAUCCUUUUUCAAAUAUAUAUAUUGCAUGUUUUACUAAAAA
ensembl:lncRNA